UACCGGCGCCUCAAGUGGUAGUCGCUUUUAUUGGGCCUAAAGCAUCCGUAGCCGGCUCUGUAAGUUUUCGGUUAAAUCUGUACGCUCAACGUACAGGCUGCCGGGAAUACUGCAGAACUAGGGAGUGGGAGAGGUAGACGGUACUCGGUAGGAAGUGGUAAAAUGCUUUGAUCUAUCGAUGACCACCUGUGGCGAAGGCGGUCUACCAGAACACGUCCGACGGUGAGGGAUGAAAGCUGGGGGAGCAAACCGG
rnacentral:rRNA from 1 species